CUUUAUCCGAGGGCUCUGCUUUGGGUGCUAAUUAAAUCCCAUCAAGGGAUGGCAUUGCUCCUGGGAGGGAAGAGUUUCCCAAUUAGCAGGCCAAAUAGAGGCCAAGGAAUUGAAUCUGUAGACUCCUUGGAGCAAGUCCUUG